GACGAACGCUGGCGGCGUGCCUAAUACAUGCAAGUAGAACGCACAGUUUAUACCGUAGCUUGCUACACCAUAGACUGUGAGUUGCGAACGGGUGAGUAACGCGUAGGUAACCUGCCUGGUAGCGGGGGAUAACUAUUGGAAACGAUAGCUAAUACCGCAUAAUAUUAAUUAUUGCAUGAUAAUUAAUUGAAAGGUGCAAUUGCACCACUACCAGAUGGACCUGCGUUGUAUUAGCUAGUAGGUGAGGUAACGGCUCACCUAGGCGACGAUACAUAGCCGACCUGAGAGGGUGCUCGGCCACCCUGGGACUGAGACACGGCCCAGACUCCUACGGGAGGCAGCAGUAGGGAAUCUUCGGCAAUGGACGAAAGUCUGACCGAGCAACGCCGCGUGAGUGAAGAAGGUUUUCGGAUCGUAAAGCUCUGUUGUAAGAGAAGAACGGGUGUGAGAGUGGAAAGUUCACACUGUGACGGUAUCUUACCAGAAAGGGACGGCUAACUACGUG
rnacentral:rRNA from 1 species